rnacentral:rRNA from 1 species
GACGGAGGAUGCAAGUGUUAUCCGGAAUCACUGGGCGUAAAGCGUCUGUAGGUCGUUCAAUAAGUCAACUGUUAAAUCUUGAGGCUCAACUUCAAAAAUCGCAGUCGAAACUAUUAGGCUAGAGUAUAGUAGGGGUAAAGGGAAUUUCCAGUGGAGCGGUGAAAUGCGUAGAGAUUGGAAAGAACACCGAUGGCGAAGGCACUUUACUGGGCUAUUACUAACACUCAGAGACGAAAGCUAGGGUAGCAAAUGGG